AUAAAAGCUUAGAUAGGGAUCAAGUAAAUAUGAUUAGUGUUUUACAGAGAGUGGAAGUAGGUGAAAAUCCACAAAUACUGCAUAUUGAAACUCACCCUGGAGCUGCAGGCUGAAAUAAUAGUAAGCUGUGCCGGUUAUGCCGUUAUAAAAUCAAGUGAAAAAUUUGGGUGGUACCGCGAACAGACUUCUCGCCCCAUGG
rnacentral:ncRNA from 1 species